AUUGAACGCUGGCGGCAGGCCUAACACAUGCAAGUCGAGCGAGCGGCGGACGGGUGAGUACUGUGUGGGAAACUGCCUGAUGGAGGGGGAUAACUACUGGAAACGGUAGCUAAUACCGCAUACCAUCGGAUGUGCCCAGAUGGGAUUCGCUAGUAGGGUGGGUAAUGGCUCACCUAGGCGACGCUACCUAGCUGGUCUGAGAGGAUGACCAGUCACACUGGAACUGAGACACGGUCCAGACUCCUACGGGAGGCAGCAGUGGGGAAUAUUGCACAAUGGGCGCAAGCCUGAUGCAGCCAUGCCGCGUGUGUGAAGAAGGCCGUAGGGUUGUAAAGCACUUUCAGUGGGGAGGCGUUACCGACAGAAGAAGCACCGGCUAACUCCGUGCCAGCAGCCGCGGUAAUUC
rnacentral:rRNA from 1 species